AGGGUUCGAUCCUGGCUCAGGAUGAACGCUGGCGGCGUGCCUAACACAUGCAAGUCGAGCGAACCCUUCGGGGUGAGCGGCGGACGGGUGAGUAACGCGUGGGUAACCUGCCCUAUACACACGGAUAACGUACCGAAAGGUACGCUAAUACGAGAUGAUAUAUUUUUAUCGCAUGGUAAAAAUAUCAAAGCUUUUGCGGUAUAGGAUGGACCCGCGUCUGAUUAGCUAGCUGGUAAGGUAAUGGCUUACCAAGGCGACGAUCAGUAGCCGACCUGAGAGGGUGAUCGGCCACAUUGGAACUGAGACACGGUCCAA
rnacentral:rRNA from 1 species